ensembl:lncRNA
UUUUCUGGCUGGAAACCCCUAUGCCUGAGGCCUUGUGAGGCAAAUAAUGCAACAGAGGUGUGAAGAGAGAAGAUUGAAACAUAAGGACAUGUAAAUGCCACAGUGAAUGUGUAUCAUGCACUACCUUGAGGGAAAUUAAAAGUGUUGGGACCCAUUGACAUGGGUGAUGCCAGGAUGGAUAAGAAGCAGCUCAUGUGCACCAGCUGAAUCAGUUUUAUUCACUGUGGCUGAACUAAAGCAGAAAGCUGUAGUUAAAGCUUUCCUUAAAGCUUGUUUGCAGCCAGAAAAUUGCACAUCUAAAGCUUUUGUAUUAUUUACCACUACAACUCCAGUGAACAGAAGCAAGCCAAGACAUUUCAUUAGCAUUUAAGAGAAACUCACAUCUCAAUUGGGUUUCCAAAACAUGACAGUAACAUUUAUGCAGAUUUGAGUUUCUUUUAGAAACUCUGAGUAACUAACUUGUACAACUGAAAAUGGGCAAUCUUCCUAGUGUCAUGACACUGGCUUCUCUGUUGUGUGCUAUACCACCACUUCUCUAGCCCAAACUGAUCCACAAAUGAGCCCGUCUCAGCUGUAGGCUUGAUUUACUAGAAGAGGAAAUACAAUUAUGUUGAACCUGCCUUGGGCAGGAAGAUGUAUCAGAAUGUCUUCUUGAAUUCCAUUCCUGUUCAUUAUUGCGCAUUUGUAUUCCAUGUUCUUGUAAUGAUGUUGGACUGGACGUUAGGAAAGCCGUAGGUGAAGGAGGAGUAUUUUUUUUUCCAUAGAAGUUGAAUCAAUGAUAUACGGAAGUUUGAGUUCUUGUAUACUUGAAGAACCUGUGUCUUUCCUCUUAUGCUAAAGGACAAUAUGUUAAACAUUAUCUGUUAUGCAUUGUGAACAUUUAGUUUUAUCUUGAUGGAUUACUUAUAAAAAAUGGAGCAGUCUAGAUAGAGGAUGGAUUAAAUCUGCAACUUUUUCAUUUUUUUUGAAUCCAUUAAUAAUAACAGAUCACAUGAUUAAAGAAUUCUUCUCAUUUGAGAAACUAAUGGG